UCAGGCUGUUGAAAAUCCUACAGCUGCAGAGAUUCAAGAUGUAUGCUCAGCAGUUGGACUUAAUGUGUUUGUUGAGAAAAAUAAAAUGUACUCUAGAGAAUGGAAUCGUGAUGCUCAAUACAGAGGCAGAGUCCGGGUCCAGCUCAGACAGGAAGACGGCAGCCUCUGUCUUGUACAGUUCCCAUCACGUAAAUCAGUAAUGUUGUAUGCAGCAGAAAUGAUACCUAAACUAAAAACAAGGACACAAAAAACAGGAGGUGGUGACCCAAGUCUUCAACAAGGAGAGGGAAGUAAAAAAGGGAAAGGAAAGAAG